AAACUUGAAAAAAGGAUGGAAGUAACCCUCAAAAAGGGUUUUUUUUCUUAGGGAUGACAGAUAAAGGGUAGAUAGAACCCUUUUUGAAGGGUACUUCUGAUUUUGAGUGUACUAAAAUAAAGCUAAAUCACCAAAAAUUUGUGAAUAUUCAAGAAAUUACCAAAAAAUUCCAAGCAAACAAAACCGCAUGUUAAUUUUCACUCCAAACGUCAAAGUCCAAGACUGGUGGCGACACCCACCGGCAACUUUGGCGAAGCAGGCGAAAAGGAACUUACACAUUGGAUGGAUUUUCGAUCAAAAACCAUCGCGAUGUGUAAAAGCCACACAUCGGUUUAAAAACAACCCGGUUUACACAUUCAGUGUGUCGGAUCGACACAUUUUGGGCGUGAUUUUUAUCUUCAGUGUAGGUACCUGUUCUAUGGUAAAAGCUAGAUAAUUUAAAUAUUUGAAAAGAAUACUGUAUUCAUUUGGUGCAGUGAUGCUGAUGGUUCAAAUCAAUAGCGUUUCAGUCAACGCUGUUGGUUGAUAAAAACGCACUGUGUAGAGCAGCCAUUCUCAACCUUCUUCUAGGCUGGUACCCCCUGCUGUGUAAAUCAAGUAGGCCCGGUACCCCCGUUGAGAAUCGCUGGUGUAGAGGAUAGAUUGAUGUAACACUGAGUUAGGGAGGUAAUAAAGUCGAUAUAUAUAUAUAUAUAUAUUACCUAUAGGUAGGCAACGACCGGUAACCAUCUAAGUCCCGAAGACAUGCGAUACAUGGCUCGAGAAACCGAUCAAUCUGACUAAGCCUCUCUACAUAAUCGACCAACAAGGGCCCAUAAAAGCAUAACUUUUGAAGUACUUUACUAAACAUAAUGGUAUGAAAAUAUGACCUAUGGGACCUAUAGACGGAUCUAAAAACACAAAUCCAGAUAAAAUUGGUCAAGCCAGUUCCGAGAAAAGCAUUAGAUGUUGGAAUCCAGCAUUCGAUGUGACGCCAGCCAAUCUGAUCACAGGAAUAAUUACUGAAAAAGGCGUAUUUGCACCCAAUGAUAUCAGAAAAUUACUUGAGCUACAAUAAAAUGAGCGAUUGAAUGUAUAAUGUACAAGUCUUGUUUAUUAAAUGUUAUUUUCUUUGAAUUGUAUCUUCUGAUAAUAAAAAAACACGCAUUUUUUUUCCUCUGAUAAAUGAA